rnacentral:rRNA from 1 species
ACGCUCGUAGUUGGACUCAGAGAUGGAGGUCGCAGUGAGGCCCUCUGCGGCUGGAGCUGUUGCGCCCCCGGGUGUGACGAUCCAACCGCAUCGCGGAACAAACCCACUGCGUUCGACCUUCACUCUUCACACGCGGAACCAUUGGGGCUGUGGAAACCUCCUUGAUUGGUGGUAGAAGCGCUUCCGCAUUCAGCACAUGCAUAUGCCCCUGUCCGUGGAGGUUACUGUGAACAAAACAGCGUGUCCAAAGCAACCACAUGUCUGGCUGAAUGAUCUAGCAUGGAAUAACAAGGCAUCGACCACUGGAGUCAGCCUUUUUGUUGGUUUUACAUGACCCAGUUGGGCAAUGCAGGGCUUGUGCUUCAUUGAGGUUCUUAGUCAGCUCUACCGAACUGUCUUCCCUCAGUUGGACCUUGUUCCCUAUCGGGAUCAAUGGAAGCCAUCGGGGUGGUAUGUAUUCCGACGUGAGCGGUGAAAUGCUUAGACCGUUGGAAGACAAACGACAGCGAAGGCAUUCCGCCAGAAUGUUUUCAUUAAUCAAGAACGAGAGUGUGGGGAUCGAAGAUGAUCAGAUACCAUCGUAGUCCAUUACCGUAAACUAUGCCAACUCGGCAUUGGGAGUCUGUUCACUUUGAAGACUCUCCCAGCAUCAUCCCCCAAUAACGAGAAAUCCAAGUCUAUGGGUUCAGGGGGGAGUACAGUCGCAAGGCUGAAACUUAAAGGAAUUGACGGAAUGACACCACAAGGCGUGGAGUAUGCGGCUUAAUUUGACCCAACACGGGGAAGCUUACCAGGUCAGACACAGUAAGGAUUGACAGAUUGAGAGCUCUUUCUUGAUCCUAUGGAUGGUGGUGCAUGGCCGUUUCUGGUUCGUGGAGUGAUCUGUCUGCUUAAUUGCGAUAACGAACGAGAUCUCUACCUCUAAAUAGGCGCCGGUCUCGCAUGUAAGUAGGGAUGUGUUGGGGGCCUUCGUGUCCCCUCAUGUCCUGAGAGUGCCGGGACCGCUUCUUAGACGGACUGUGCAUGUCUUUAAUGCACGGAAGAGGGAGUCAAUAGCAGGUCUGUGAUGCUCCUAGAUGUUCUGGGCUGCACGCGCACUACACUGGCACAGUAAACGAGUUGCACCUGCUUCGGCAGUCCUGCUUAGAAGUGAGCGUGGGAAAUCUUAGAAAACUGUGCCGUGCUGGGGAUAGAUGAUUGCGAUUAUUUGUCUUGAACGAGGAAUGCCUAGUAGAGGUACUUCAUCAGAGUACCUUGAUUGUGUCCCUGCCAUUUGUACACACCGCCCGUCGUUGCUACCGAUUGGCUGUAAAAUAGAGGCCUUAAGAGUCGCUUCCGCAAAGCUUUGCUUUUGAGGUUGUGACAAAUCUGGCCAAUAUUUCAUCGCUAGAGGAAGCAAAAGUCGUAACAAGG